GAAUCUUGGAGAAUGCUUUCUAGAAUGUAAUGAACUACAGAGAGUGCUUCCAAAUCUCAUUUGCCUUCUGUCAUUGCAAACCCCCCUUGCUUGGGGUUUAUGGGUUAUUUUAUGUGUCACUUUAUUAGGUAAUUCCAAUGCUCUUGACAUUGUCUUCUUCUGGACAUUAUGGGUGUUACAAAGCCUUUGAAUUGCCCUGGGCAGACCAUAUUUAAAACUGGGCCUGUUUUUCCUGUAGCUUAUAAAAUAUAAAUAGCACAAGAGUCAAGCAGAGCUACAGGAGGAUGUGACUCAGGCUGGGCCCCCAAGGGAAGGCUGACUAAAUGUCAGAGGGAGUGUGCAAACCGCCGAUCAAGACCCUGGAAGGCCAGGGCUCUGCAGCAUGCCCUUGGCUAGCAGUGUGGGGCUUGGGGAGUGCAGAAGGCCUGGCCUCACCCUCUACACUGGCUGGCUUCUAAAGUCCAGUCCCCCCUGGGUUUGCCUCAAGUGCUGUAAAUUCUGGGAGCAAACACUUUUGCCCUUUGAUAUAGUCUUGGCUUAAUUUCCAGAUUGAAUUGGGUUAUCAAAGAGGUCUCCUGGGAAAUAGUAUCUGUAUUAGGAAAUAUGAGGAAAUAUUCAUUUAAAGACUGAAUCUAGGACCCAAAGUCUUCAUCUCUGAGGAGCUCUCUAAAGAAAAGAGGCAGCAGGAACUCAGAAAAAUAUGCACAGAUAUAUACAUAAAAAUAUGACUUACCAUGAACUCUCAGGGUUCUGUAUCAUUGCUAAGUGAAUUACUGAUGGUGUCACUGGGAGUAGGACCUGGAGAGAUGAGUCUUGGAAGAAAAGAGGACAGUAAAUAAUUUGAAGGAGUCUUCAAAGGAGGGAAGGAGAUCAUGAUUGUUAGAAGACUCCCAAGUGUGUGUUCUUUGCAUGCAGAAAUCAUACCUUUCGCUUCAGUAUUCCUAGGACUUUGCAUAGCAUCUGGCACACAGCCUUCAACUAGCUUCCGAGAGAGAGCCGUGGGUCAGCAGUAGGAGGAUCAGGACUGGCUCCAGUCAAACAGGGAGCCCUGGAGCCUGCCUCCCAUGGUCGGGGAGACGGCCAAGCCGGCAGAGCCUGUGUGUGCAUGAUGUAAGGAACAUCAGGCAGAGGAUCGACAAGGCUGCAACCUGAUUUGACCCUGUGUCACUGCAUCAUCACGUCACUGCACCUCUGGGUGGGGCGUGUUGAUGCCGCAGCGCCUCCUGAAGCUCCACCACCUCAGUGCAGAAGGUGCAGGGGCACAGACCGCCUCUUCACUUCUUCCCAGCAGGAGGGAUGGCACCGAGAAGCGGGGGCAGCCGAGGCUGGCCUGUCUGCCCCCUCGAUGGCCUCCAGGAGCCUCUUUUGUGUGGUCCGAGCCCUGGCUGAUUGGCAGCAAGUUGAGGGUGGUAGAUUUCCUGUGUCUCCCACUCUCUGUCCACAGUGGUCACCCAUCAAGGAAGGGAACCAAAAAAAGAACAAAAAAGCUGCGUGGCACCAUCUUUUCUGGCUCUGCCUUCCAUGGCGCUUUCUUUCCCUCUCUCCUGUUCUUCUACCUCUCCCUUCAGCCCCUGUGAGGAUGAGGUGAGGCGGGGAAUCUGUGGGUGGUAGAGGAGGCACUGAAUGGGGCGUGUAACCGAUGUCCCCUGUGUCUGCUCUAGACUCACGGAGAGCUGACCCACGAGCUCAAGAGAUUGCCCUGGACUCUGUUCAGGGAAGACGCACUUGAGGUUGGGACUUUCCAAAUGUCCCUCGGUCUCUUUAUACCUGGCCUUUCUCUCUGCCCUUCAGCUGCCCUCAGCCUUCCCUUCCGUCCUCUGCAGACAGGAUGUUACCCAUGGAGUCCACCCUUCUCUUGCCGGGACCCUAGCUUCUUUGCCUCAGCGUGCUCAGGCUCUCCAGCCGGCACUUGCUCACACCAGUUUUUUCCACGCUUGUAACUGGACUGCUGACAGCUGGAGAAAGCCACACAGCCCUGUAGAUAGACGGGCACCCCUCCAGACGAGUCACCUGCACCACAGCCGGGCACUUAGAGCCUGCAGAGGCCUGCUGUUUGCUGCUAUUUCCCACUCUCUACAGAAGGACUUCCAAAACUUCUCCCUGUCCUGCAACAGUUGCUACUUACUGUACCACCCAACCUGCCCAAGGCACACAUGCUUGUUUGUCAAGUGGCAACUGAUCCCCCUCCAAGAUUUCUGAAAGAAUUAAGCACAAUUAUCGAAUAGGAAAUCCAUUAUUUUGAAGAGUUGACUCAAAAUGGGGUGAGGGAGGGAAUGUGACAAAGAGGAGAAUGUAGAGAAGGGGCCUUCCUCUGGAAGGAAGGGAGACAAGUGUCGAUUCCCCAACUUCUCAGGCUUCCUUUUAAAGCCUUCUUCCAUCAGUUCUCGCCCAUCAUGGUCAAGGGCUCCAGAGGAGAUGGUGCAGAUGGCCCCCUUCCCCACGGCCGGGCAGUGACAAGAUUCUGGAGAGCAAACCCACAGGGUGUGUCUCUGUUAUUCUGUAGGUGCUCCUUUAGAUUCAAGAUGACUGUGGUCAGGCAGUUUGCCACUGAGAUUUGAUUAAUAAUUUUUUUUCUGGGCUGUGUUCCCUGGGACAUAUUGAGGUUCAUGUUCAGUGGCUAACUUUUUUCAGGCUUUUCAUUUCUAUCCACUUCUCUCAGCUUUGGACAUAGCACAUAGCCACAGAAAUGUGCACAGAGAAUUCAGCACACAAGAAAUUUGCAUUUGACUCCUUGAACAGAAAGUCUCUGUAUGUCCAGGGAGUUGGGGAGCAGAGGCCUCUUUCCACUCCUCAGGGGAUGACCAGUCGCAUGAGUUGGGCUCUGUCCUGUGUUGGUGGAAGGCCACCUUAACUUGACAGAAAGGGGCAGCAGAGCAGGCUAGCAGGUAUCCACUGCGAGGCUGAGGACCACGUGCAUUCAUUGAGAGCAGGGUGGGGCCCUGCCAAUCUGUUCGGACAUGCUGCCAGCUGGCAGCAGGACUGAGUCCUCCCCCAGGAGAGCUGGAGAGCACGGAAGGCCGGCCUGGGCCCUGGCCUGGUGAGUGAGCAGAAGCUUUCAAUGUAUGGAGUAUCUAGUGAACACUGGCCAGGACAGCCCGGCUCCUCACAAUUCCCUUCCCAGUUUUCUGCCGGGGACUUAAGUUUUUUCUAAGGGAAAACUUCGCAUUUGUUUUUGGUAUCUUUAGUGUGUAUGUGUGUGUUUGCUCUUGGUGCUAAGCCUCUGUGAUUAUCUAUAGGAACUGGCAGAAGCACUCUCUCCUUUUCUCACUUUGAGUGUUUGACCUUGUGACCUUGUGUUCUUGUGAAACCUCUGCUGUGUAAUCUCAUCAGUUUCCUUCCUGUACGAUCCCCCUGAUUUCCCCUGGAAUAUCCCAUGGGCAUUUUUAUGUCAGCAGACUGGAAUGUUUCUCUCGUCCCUGGGAAAAGCUCCUCUGGUCUUAGUGAAUUCAGAAGUGGAGGAAUUCAUAAGAUUUAGGGAGUCUGCCUCAAAUUGCCUCCUAGUAUAACUUCCCACAAGGACUGGAGAAAGGUUAGAACAUUCCCCUGCCGUGUCUGGAGAUGGAAAGGGGCAGGAUCCCUUUUCCUGCCAAAGUCACAAAGAGCCAGCUGGGACCACAAGCACACUUGCUGCAGUCAAGGGCCCAAGCAGAAGCAGCGAUACUAAGGCCUACACAGUGGCACCUCCUACUUGCCUGUGUUGGGUCACUCUUCCUCAUAAGACCGUGGCAAAGCAAGAGCUGACAGAUAAGGAAACCGAGCCUGGGAAAAGUCAGCCAUUUUCUUAAAACUACACAUUGUAGUAGAUGGCAGAGAGAGGGUAACAGUUAGUCUUGUUUUAUUUUGAGCUGAGUGGUCCUGUAAGGUUGUAUCAGGUUACGAGGAAGAUAAAUGCCUCUUGGGAACCUUGCAACAAUCCAGGCCUAGCCAGUCUUUAAGGCUGAUUUUAUCCAAAGCAGACAAAUUCUUGAUCUGAUUUGAGGUGGUGUCACGAAGCUCCUGGAGAAGGAAAUGGCAACCCACUCCAGUGUUCUUGCCUGGAGAAUCCUGGGGACAGGAGAGCCUGGUGGGCUGCCAUCUAUGGGGUCGCACAGAGUCAGACACGACUGAAGUGACUUAGCAGCAGCAGCAGCAGCAGGAAGCUCCAGUAUUACAUGCAUGAAGUUCAGUCAUUAUAACCAUUCUUUCAUUUGAUGGGUUGUUCCCAGUUACAGUUAAAAUAUCUUUGUGUGUAUAAUUCUUUGAGCAUUUAUUUACCCCUAAGUGUAAAUUAAUUUUUUGAAUAUUAUUAAACAUAGCAGCUAAUUGAGAGCUGAUUUAUUCCCUUCAUGUAUUUAUUCUAUCAACAUGCAUUUAAUCUGGUCUGAGGACAAGAUACUGUGUGAGUUGAAAGAGGAGGAAGACCUGUCUUCCUCCCUAACUGAGCUUAAAACGCUACCAUAAGAUACCAAAUAGUAAGCCUUAAGAAUAACACAAAUAGAAAAAAAAAAUCGAUUGAGAGCAGGAAUUAAGGAUAAACAGCUGGGGAAUUCAGAAUGCAUGCUGAAAGGCAAUAGGAAGGUUAAGCAUUUGUGAAAGAUGGUGAAGAUCUCAAGUGGAGAUGAUCACGAUGCAGGGGGUGCCAAGUGAAGAGAAGCGAGGAAGGCAUUCCUGGGGAGGGAAAGCUAUAAGCAAAGGUGCUGGGGGUGGGAAACUGCCACAUUUGGCUAGAGAUUUCAAGUCAUUCAGUUUGACUUAAAGGAAAGGUGCCUGUGAAAGGAUCAGUUCAGUUCAGUUGCUCAGUCCUGUCUGACUCUUUGGGACCCCAUGAAUCACAGCACACCACGCCUCCCUGUCCAUCACAAACUCCCGG